rnacentral:rRNA from 1 species
GACGAACGCUGGCGGCGUGCCUAAUACAUGCAAGUUGAGCGCUGAAGGUUGGUACUUGUCCCAACUGGCUGAGCAGCGAACGGGUGAGUAACGCGUGGGGAAUCUGCCUUUGAGCGGGGGACAACAUUUGGAAACGAAUGCUAAUACCGCAUAAAAACUUUAAACACAAGUUUUAAGUUUGAAAGAUGCAAUUGCAUCACUCAAAGAUGAUCCCGCGUUGUAUUAGCUAGUUGGUGAGGUAAAGGCUCACCAAGGCGAUGAUACAUAGCCGACCUGAGAGGGUGAUCGGCCACAUUGGGACUGAUACACGGCCCAAACUCCUACGGGAGGCAGCAGUAGGGAAUCUUCGGCAAUGGACGAAAGUCUGACCGAGCAACGCCGCGUGAGUGAAGAAGGUUUUCGGAUCGUAAAACUCUGUUGGUAGAGAAGAACGUGGGUGAGAGUGGAAAGCUCAUCAAGUGACGGUAACUACCCAGAAAGGGACGGCUAACUACGU